AUUGGCGAGGUAACGGCUCACCAAGGCAACGACGGGUAGCUGGUCUGAGAGGAUGGCCAGCCACAUUGGGACUGAGAUACGGCCCAGACUCCUACGGGAGGCAGCAGUGGGGAAUCUUGCGCAAUGGCCUAACGGCUGACGCAGCGACGCCGCGUGUGGGAUGAAGCUCUUCGGAGUGUAAACCACUGUUGCCCGGGACGAACAGCUCGAUUUCUCGAGCCUGACGGUACCGGGUGAGGAAGCACCGGCUAACUCCGUGCCAGCAGCCGCGGUAAUACGGGGGGUGCGAGCGUUGUCCGGAAUCACUGGGCGUAAAGGGCGCGUAGGUGGUUUGAUAAGGGUGUGGUGAAAGUCCGGGGCUCAACCCCGGAUCUGCCGUGCCGACUGUCAGACUCGAGGGCUGUAGAGGCAGACGGAAUUCCGGGUGUAGCGGUGGAAUGCGUAGAGAUCCGGAGGAAGACCGGUGGC
rnacentral:rRNA from 1 species